rnacentral:tRNA from 1 species
GCCAGCGUGGUAUAGUGGUUUGAGCACUGGACUAUGACUCUAGAGACCAAGGUUCAAAUCCCCACUCAGCCA